AACUGUAACGACCCAACUUUUCUAAGUAAGUCGAGGUCGUUAAUUUUUUUUAACAAAAGACUUUGGUUGAUACAAAACGAAACGUAAGUCAAUUUAAAAACAAUACAUCUUCAGGCCUGAUUUUCAAAUAUUCAAGAAAACAUAAAAUAAUACUGUUUGCAACAAACGUUUGUAAACUAAAUUUCAAAUCAAUCUUAAAUAAGCGGAAGCAACUACACGUUUCCUAUGGCAUCACGCUUCCUUCCUGCCCCUCGCCGGUUUGCCGCCUUUAUUACCUUUGCCUGAAAAUUAAACAUAAGAAGGGUGAGUAUUUUAAAUACUCAGUAAGAGACCCUCUACUGGUCUCGUCAGGGGAAAAUAAAUUGUUAAAGUUCUAUUGGGACACCCUGUACAGUCGCAGUCUUGUGAUCCCGUAGGAUACACAUAUCAGUCUAACGCCCCGAAGGACGUACAUAUCAGUCUGACGCCCCGAGGGACGUACAUAUCAGUCAAGUGUUCUGCAGAACACAUAUCAGUCAAAUGCUCCCGAAGGUGCAAAAAUAAAUUGGUGAUCCCGUGGGACACCUACAAGGUAAUCAUCCCAAUACAACUUAACAAUUUAUCCCCUCAUUCCAUUCAACCCAUCUUUCAGAUACUUCAAAACAUAGAGUUCCUUCUCUCAACAGUCAACUUAUCUCACUUAGGUCAUAUGUCUGUCAAUAACAUACUAAUACAUCAGUCAAUCAAACUAUACAGUCAAUACACCCCUCAGAUCACCAGCACACAGUCAUACUUUAGCGUAACGACACCCAAUCUAAACGACAAUCACAAGAUCGCAUCUGCAUCUCAUACAAGCAUAAUCUACAAUUUUCGUCCUGUCCACAUCCACACACAUAUAUAUAUAUUCCAUGACAAUCACAAUAUGCAUUCCACAUUAAGUCUACUUCAAUUCCUAUGCAUAUGUAUAUAUAUUUUCAGUCAAUCCACAGUGUACAUUCAGCACCGAAUCUACACCCAUACGUGUAUAAACAUAAGUAUCACCUCAACAUCUUUACUCAGUCAAAGAUAAUCAUUCAGACAUACAAUUCACAAUCAUAAGUGAGUCCAGUAGAAAAUCCCUUACCUUCAAAUUUGUUAAGCUCCUUAACCACGUUGAAGUCUAUGAAGAACGAACCUAAACAUUAAGACAAUUUCUCAAUAAUUCCCUUCAACGCAUCAGUCAUUUAAAUUCAACCCAAUGUGAAUCUUUUUGCAACUUACCCAAAUCUUCGCGAAAGAAAUCGAGUAGUGGCUUUGCGAAGAGAUGACGUGCGGCGGAGAGACCGUAUACAGAUGGCCGGAGAGUCGCGCGGCAGUGCAGACGACGGAGGAGAAGAAAUCGGCGGCGGCUGGGCUGAAAACAGAGGAGAAAGGAGAGGGGAGACAGCCGGCGGUUACAGGUUCACGCGGCGGCCUUGCUUCGCGAACAGAGAUGGCGGCCGACGGUUGCAGCGACGGAAGAGCAACGGCGCCGCAGAUCUGGACUGGCAGCGGCGCAGUCUUGCUUCGCGGUGGGGCUGCGGACGGAAGAAGAAAAUGGAAAGAAAGGAUCGGCGGCUAGCUGCGGGACGGGAAGAAGAAGAUAGAGGUGUGGUUGCGGCUGGGCUGCGGUUGGCUGCGGCGGGACGGGAAGAAGAAGAUAGAGGCGGCGGCCGUGGAGCGGAGAAGAAAAGAGGAAGAAAAAGAAGAAAGAAAAGAGAAAGGAAAAGAGAAGAGAACGGGGGGGGGGGGCUGUGCAGCGCGCGAGAGAGAGAGAGAGAAUUUCUUUUUCUUUUCUUUUUUUAUUUAAAUUAAAUAUAAUUAAAUAAAUAAAUAUAUAUAUAUAUAUAUAAAAUAAAAACAAAUAUAUAUAUAUAUAUAUACCUUUGGGGCAUUACAUUCUUCCCUCCUUAAGAAACUUUCGUCCUCGAAAGUUUUACUCCUGAAAUAACUCUGGAUAACGAGUCCUCAUCUCUUCCUCUCGCUCCCAUGUCGCCUCUUCCAUUCGAUGGUUCCGCCACAAAACUUUUACUAAUGGAAUGCUUCUAUUACGAAGCAUCUUUACCUCCCUAGCCAGAAUCUCCACAGGUUGUUCUACAUAGCUCAAAUGCUCAUCAAUCUCCAAGGGUUCAUAGUCCACUACAUGAGACGUAUCGGCCAUAUAUUCCUCAACAUCGAAACAUGGAAAACAUUAUGGACUGCAGAGAGUGAUGGUGGUAACGCCAAGCGAUACGCCACAACGCCAACCCUCUCUAAGACCUCAAAUGGUCCAACAAAACGAGGACUUAACUUCCCUUUCUUCUCAAAAUGCAUAACACCCUUCAUAGGUACUACCUUCAAGAAUACCUUUUCUCCCACAUCGAACUUAAGGUCUUUUCGCCGUACAUCUGCAUAACUCUUCUGUCUACUCUGCGCUGUUUGCAUACGUGUUCUAAUCUUUUGAAUAGCCUCAUUAGUAGACCGAACUAAUUCAGGUCCCAUCAACCUAUGUUCACCAACCUCACCCCAACAAACAGGGGUUCUACAACAUUUGCCAUACAAAGCCUCAAAUGGUGUCAUACCGAUGGUAGCCUGGAAACUGUUGUUAUAAGAAAACUCCAUCAAAUGUAGAUGAGAGUCCCAACUACCUGGAAACUCUAUAACACAAGCUCGUAGCAUAUCCUCUAAAACUUGGUUCAAACGUUCAGUUUGACCAUCAGUCUGUGGAUGAAAGGCUGUACUAAAAUCCAAUCUCGUACCCAUAGCAGUCUGAAGUCCCUUCCAAAACUUGGAAGUAAACCGUCCAUCCCUAUCAGAAACAAUCGAUACAAGCACUCCAUGCAGUCUCACAAUCUCAGUUAAAUACAACUCUGCCCACUUACUAGCAGUAUAAGUGGAUUUCCCUGGUACAAAAUGUGCCGAUUUCGUAAGCCUGUCUAUGACAACCAAAAUCACUGUGAAACCCUUCAGGGUCUUAGGCAGCCCUGAAAUAAAAUCCAUCGACACAUUCUCCCACUUCUACUCUGGCACACUUAAAGGUUGUAACAAACCUGCUGGUUUCUGUCUAGGUGCCUUAACUUGCUGACAUACUAAGCACUUACUAACAAGAUCUUCCAUUUCUCUCUUCAUAUUACGCUAGUAACAAACUCUUUUCAGAUCCGGAUACAUUUUUGUGCUACUUGGAUGCAUGAGAAAUGGGAAACUAUGAGUCUCAACCAAUAACCUUGUCUUAAUUGCUUUUUCUGUUGGCACACAUAAUUCUCUCUCAAACAUAAGUUCAUCAUCAAAGGAUAUGGAAAACUCCUUAACUUGCCCUACUUCUACUAGGCGAUGCUUCUCAAUCAAAUAAGGAUCAAUGAAUUGAACCACAAGAAUUCUUUGUCUCAAGGUCGGAUGUACUGACAACUGAGCUAACUUUGAGGUGACUUCCCCCACUGAAACUACAAUCUCAGCUCUCUCGUGGUUUUUUUUUGUCUAAUGAAACCUGUCUGGUAAUAAGUGCUGUCAAAAUGUGAUACUUUUCUACGAAGAGCACCAACUUCCACAUUCACCUUACCUAGAUGGUACAAAAUCUCACAAUCAUAGUCAUUUACUAACUGAAACCAUCUUUGCUAUCUCAUACUCAACUUCUUUUGAGUGAAGAAGUAUUUUAUACUCUUUUGGUUAGAAAAUAUCUAUAUCUUUUCAUCAUACAUAUAGUGCCUUCAAAUCAUUAAUGUAAAAACCACAACUGUCAAUUCCAUAUCAUAAGUUGGACAAUUUUCCUCACGAGGAGUACAAGCAACUACUUUAACUUGUUGAAUAAGAAUACCUUUUAAACUUUCCUAAAAGCAUCACUAUAAAUUACGGAACAUUCUGAACCAUCAUGUACGGUAAGCACGGGAGUUGUACAAGCUUCUGCUUAAGAUCCUGAGCACUAUCCUCAUAGGCUUUGUCCCAAACAAACAGAGUCCCUUUUCUUAGUUAACUGAGUCAAAGGAGUAGCUAUACGAGAAAAUUCUUAUACAAACCGUUAGUAAUAACUUGCUAACCCUAAAAGACUAUGAACCUCACUGACUAUGAAAAGUCGAGGCCAACUAGUAACAACUUCAAUCUUUUGUGAGAUCCACAUAAAUGUCACCUCUAGAUACCACAUGGCUUGGAAAGAUACUUGGCCUCAUCCAAAACUCACAUUUUGAAAACUUUGCAUACAAUUCGUUGACUCGAAGAGCCUCUAAAACCAUGUUAAAUGCUCCUCAUGCGCUGUCUCUAUUUUGGAAUAAAUUAAGAUAUCGUCAAUAAAUACAAUCACGAAAGUGUCUAAGAGAUCGUUAAACACUUUGUUCAUCAAGUCGUAAACAUUGUUUGAGCAUUUGCCAACUCAAAAGACAUCAUAAUGAACUCAUGAUGUCCAUAUCACGAACGAAAAUCUGUCAUAGGAAUGUCACUGUUCUCUAAUCCUCAACAAGUCAUAACCUGAAUGUAAUUCAAUCUUAAAGAACACGGACUUAUUGCAGUUGAUCAAACAAAUCCUCAUUCAUUGGUAAAAGAUAUUUAUUCUUAACCGACACCUUAUUCAACUUUCUACAAUCAAAACAUAAGUGCAUCGACCCAUCUUUCUUCUUAAUAAACAAAAAUUGGUGCACCCCAAGAUAUCAUACUUCGUCGAAUGUAGUCCUUGUCAAACAUUUCUUUCAAUUGCACCUUCAAAUCUUUCAACUCUGUUGGGGCCAUUUUGUAUGAAGCUUUAGAUAUAGGAACGAGUCUAACUCUAUCUCAAUAGGAAGACCAAAUUCUGUUUAGCGCGGUAAUCUUAGAAACUCUUCUAGACAAAUAUCAUAAUACUUUUUCACCACUGAUUCAAAUAACACAGAAACAUCGACUUCUCUGGUGUCUACCACACUAGUCAAAUACAACAGGUACCCUGGUCAAGCAACUUACUAACCUUCAUAGCUGGGAUAACUUUUAGCGAAAUGAUAGUUCCAACCUCUUUGUACUUGAAACAAGCCUCUGGAGAAGGAUUAGAAACUACAUUUUCGCUGAACAUUUUAUGUUUACAUGGUUAAACUACAUUCCAAUUUUCAAACUCCAAACUAGUAACUUUUCAUUCACGAGAAACUCAAAAUUGUUUCUUAAAGUCACAUCAAGACAACCAUGCUCAUCUUCCUUGUUUCUUUUCCAAUACCUCCAUUCUAAAACCAUUUAAUGUGUUUCGUAUAAACUUGACCGUGUAUUUAGUCCUCGUUAAAACCACCUACAUAACUUAUUUUUCUUAGAUUUCCAAUCACAAAACAGACAAUUUCGCUAACAACGUCUUACUUUUCUACUACUCGACCACUCCUUUGAACACCUCUACAUGGCAACAUUUUUCCUAAAUUUCACCAUUAAAUCCUUCACCAUUAAAUCAUAACAUUCAUGUAAUUCUAGUUUAACUUAGGCAAGGUCAUAUACAUAAACCAUACAUAUAAGCAUAAAGCAUACCUGACGAGAGACGAAGGGUCGCGUUUGCCAUAGGAACACAAAAACAUAGACUUACAUCGUAAGUCAGUCUACAGAACCUAAAACUUAGGCUCUGAUACCAACUGUAACGACCCAACUUUUCUAAGUAAGUCGAGGUCGUUAAUUUUUUUUAACAAAAGACUUUGGUUGAUACAAAACGAAACGUAAGUCAAUUUAAAAACAAUACAUCUUCAGGCCUGAUUUUCAAAUAUUCAAGAAAACAUAAAAUAAUACUGUUUGCAACAAACGUUUGUAAACUAAAUUUCAAAUCAAUCUUAAAUAAGCGGAAGCAACUACACGUUUCCUAUGGCAUCACGCUUCCUUCCUGCCCCUCGCCGGUUUGCCGCCUUUAUUACCUUUGCCUGAAAAUUAAACAUAAGAAGGGUGAGUAUUUUAAAUACUCAGUAAGAGACCCUCUACUGGUCUCGUCAGGGGAAAAUAAAUUGUUAAAGUUCUAUUGGGACACCCUGUACAGUCGCAGUCUUGUGAUCCCGUAGGAUACACAUAUCAGUCUAACGCCCCGAAGGACGUACAUAUCAGUCUGACGCCCCGAGGGACGUACAUAUCAGUCAAGUGUUCUGCAGAACACAUAUCAGUCAAAUGCUCCCGAAGGUGCAAAAAUAAAUUGGUGAUCCCGUGGGACACCUACAAGGUAAUCAUCCCAAUACAACUUAACAAUUUAUCCCCUCAUUCCAUUCAACCCAUCUUUCAGAUACUUCAAAACAUAGAGUUCCUUCUCUCAACAGUCAACUUAUCUCACUUAGGUCAUAUGUCUGUCAAUAACAUACUAAUACAUCAGUCAAUCAAACUAUACAGUCAAUACACCCCUCAGAUCACCAGCACACAGUCAUACUUUAGCGUAACGACACCCAAUCUAAACGACAAUCACAAGAUCGCAUCUGCAUCUCAUACAAGCAUAAUCUACAAUUUUCGUCCUGUCCACAUCCACACACAUAUAUAUAUAUUCCAUGACAAUCACAAUAUGCAUUCCACAUUAAGUCUACUUCAAUUCCUAUGCAUAUGUAUAUAUAUUUUCAGUCAAUCCACAGUGUACAUUCAGCACCGAAUCUACACCCAUACGUGUAUAAACAUAAGUAUCACCUCAACAUCUUUACUCAGUCAAAGAUAAUCAUUCAGACAUACAAUUCACAAUCAUAAGUGAGUCCAGUAGAAAAUCCCUUACCUUCAAAUUUGUUAAGCUCCUUAACCACGUUGAAGUCUAUGAAGAACGAAC
rnacentral:lncRNA from 1 species